CUUGGUCAUUUAGAGGAAGUAAAAGUCGUAACAAGGUCUCCGUAGGUGAACCUGCGGAGGGAUCAUUACAGAGUUCAUGCCCCUAUGGGUAGAUCUCCCACCCUUUGUUAUCAUUACCUCUGUUGCUUUGGCGGGCCGCCAGGCCUCGGUCAGGCUACCGGCUCCGGCUGGUAAGCGCCCGCCAGAGGACCCUAAACUCUGAAUUAUUAGUGUUGUCUGAGUACUAUAUAAUAGUUAAAACUUUCAACAACGGAUCUCUUGGUUCUGGCAUCGAUGAAGAACGCAGCGAAAUGCGAUAAGUAAUGUGAAUUGCAGAAUUUAGUGAAUCAUCGAGUCUUUGAACGCACAUUGCGCCCAAGGGCACUCCUUUGGGCAUGCCUGUUCGAGCGUCAUCUAAACCCUUCAAGCCCAGCUUGGCGAUGGGCGCCUGUCCGCCGCGUGCGGACCCGCCCCAAAUAUAUUGGCAGCCGGCCGACCCGCCCCGAAGCGCAGCAGAAGCGCGCGUCGCGAGGCGGGCGCCGGCGCUCCAGCGAGCGAACACCACCCCAUUUGACCUCGAAUCAGGCAGGGAUACCCGCUGAACUUAAGCAUAUCAAUAAGCGGAGGA
rnacentral:rRNA from 1 species